rnacentral:lncRNA from 1 species
UAUGGAUGCGAGAUCAAAGCGAUAGAAAACCUACUUGUUAUAUAUCAUGUUGAAUCAACAAAUAAAGACGUACAAAAAAUACAAUUAAAUAUUGUCCAGUUUCUCAAUUCUCAGUCCCCCAUUUCAACAAUGAAGACGCAAUACUGACCAGAGUUUAUAAAUUUUUAUCGGCCAUCAAAGCAGAUUGGGUACAGCGUCGUCUACGUUUUCUGGAAUGACCAUCUCGCCUGUUGGCUUGCCGUCGUUGGGGUCAUGGGGCAACUCCGGCUCAAGUUGUUGCAUUCUCAUACCAGCAAGCAUGUUUGUCGUCGUCCACGGAUGUUGGACUGUUCCUGGUACGAAGGACGCUACACCUACAUGUGAUGAGAAAACGGAGGAUCACUUGUGUCCGUGAAGCCUGAUGUGGCACUCUUGGAUUGGAUGGCUGUCGUCUUAUGCGAAAGGCGAGCACUUCCUAGGAGGGUCAAGCUAAGCAUGGCUGUUUCUGUACCAUGCUCUUUUUUUUUGGUUCACCCCGGUACCCUACAGACAAAUAAGCACACAUCCGUAGGACUCCUCCAGGUGAACGCCACGUCGUUGAUGUUCUUCGACUAGCUCAUGACAACAACGACAAAGUAGAAGAUGAGCAGUCCGAGAUUG